rnacentral:rRNA from 1 species
GGUUGGGAUCAUACCAGCACUAAUGCACCGGAUCCCAUCAGAACUCCGCAGUUAAGCGUGCUUGGGCGAGAGUAGUACUAGGAUGGGUGACCCCCUGGGAAGUCCACGUGUUGUAACCCC